GACUAAUACAAUAGUCUACAAAAUCACUAUAAUGCUGCCUACUAUAACAUGAACCACAGUGGACUCACAUUCUGCAGGGUGAGCGAGCGGAUGAGUUGAGGCAGGAUGUCUUCCUUCACCAGAGACUCUGCCAGGUCGGGGUUGUGGUCGGCCAGGCGACCGAGGGCCAAGGCUGCCUUCUGCUGGAUGCCAGGAACCACAUCCAGCAUGAGGGGCCUCAGCAUGGACAUCACACCUUUUGCAGUGCUAAUGCUCCACCCCAGCUCCCGAAAAGAAGAAGAAGCAACCUGUCUGUGAUCUUCGACGACUUCUGCUUUCUUCAAACACUGCACUCAGCACCCAAAGGACCACAGAAGAAUGCCGACGAAAGAGCAAAAAGAGCCCAAGUCCCCGCCUGAUGGAAGACCGCAGGACAACACAUCCACGAGGCAGGCGCUACAAGAAUGCAGCAAUAAAAGACAACUUGAGGACUCAAAGAGCAAACCUUACCAUGCCAACAUUUUUCUCUUGCUCAAUUUAUGGCUUUAAUACUUACAUCCAGUGAGGUCUGUCGCUAAUAAUGGCUAUAAUUGCGCUUAUGGGUGAAGAAAGCCUCAGUCACAUCUAUCAAUGCAGCAGUUUUUAUACUUUGUAUAAAUGCUCGUUUUUGAUAGAGUUGCUAUAUUCAUUUUAGCUUAUUAUAUACCUUAGUUUAUCAUUUAGUCUGUAAAUACGUUUAUCCUCCAGGCAGACUUUAAUCAACUCCCAUUCUAUUAAAAGUAUUCUCAUCAUAAAUAUGCAUGUAAAAUAUAAUUUACUAGGAAAAAAUCCUGUUUUAUUUGAUUUGGUUAGAAAUUGAAAUUGAAAAUACUGAAAUAAAUAGUUUUGUUUGUUGAAAUGUGGCUAUGCAAAAUUAUUUCCCGUUAGUUUAUUUGUGUUAUCUAACGAAUAAUAGUCAAACGGGAAAAAAAAGGCAUAUCCAAAUUUCCAUGAAGAAAAAUACUUAUCAGAAAAAAAAAAAUGGAAUAAUUUUCAAAGCAUUAGAUACAAAACGGAAAUGAUUUUAUUUUAGUGCAUUAAAUUU